CUUCUCUUUCCCUGCUUUUCAAAGGCAGCUCUGUAAAGAGCUCCAUCUGUUUAGGAAAGCCUUGGGCACGGAGAACUGCUAUCAAUCCUCCAUGGUUCCUUACUGUUGCGAUUAUGAAUGGCUGGGAGCUUUUAUGUUGCUGCUGGAUUAAUAUAUCUGCUGACGACCACCAUCACUACCCUGUUCUAAAGAUUUUCUGUUAGGGAAACUACAUCCUAUCUACAACUGAACUUCAGUAAGAAAUGUGCCUGUAUGGUGAAUACAAGAUGUUUGUAAGUAAACAAAAUAUGAUAUUUUUCAAAGAGGACUGUUUUUUUAAAUUUCUGAGUGC
rnacentral:lncRNA from 11 species